CACGUAGGGGGCAAGCGUUGUUCGGAAUUACUGGGCGUAAAGGGCAUGUAGGCGGUUUUGUAAGACUGGCGUGAAAGGCUGCAGCUCAACUGUAGCACGGCGCUGGUAACUGCGAGACUUGAGUCACGGAGAGGGAGCUAGAAUUCCAGGUGUAGGGGUGAAAUCUGUAGAUAUCUGGAAGAAUACCAAUGGCGAAGGCAAGCUUCUGGCCGAUGACUGACGCUGAGGUGCGAAAGCGUGGGUAGCAAACAGG
rnacentral:rRNA from 2 species